CCUACGGGAGGCUGCAGUGGGGAAUAUUGCGCAAUGGGCGAAAGCCUGACGCAGCGACGCCGCGUGAGGGAUGAAGGUCUUCGGAUCGUAAACCUCUGUCGGCAGGGAAGAACGGUCACUGUGCUAAUCAGCAGUGAAUUGACGGUACCUGCAAAGGAAGCACCGGCUAACUCCGUGCCAGCAGCCGCGGUAAUACGGAGGGUGCGAGCGUGAAUCGGAAUUAUUGGGCGUAAAGCGCUCGUGGGCGGUAUGGCAAGUCAAGGGUGAAAUCCCCGCGCUCAACGUGGGAACUGCCUUUGAAACUGGCAAACUGGAGUGUGUGAGAGGAUAGUGGAAUUCCAGGUGUAGGAGUGAAAUCCGUAGAUAUCUGGAGGAACAUCAGUGGCGAAGGCGACUAUCUGGCACAUAACUGACGCUGAGGAGCGAAAGCGUGGGUAGCAAACAGGAUUAGAUACCCGUGUAGUC
rnacentral:rRNA from 1 species